CGCUGGCGGCGUGCUUAACACAUGCAAGUCGAACGGAAAGGCCCUGCUUUUGUGGGGUGCUCGAGUGGCGAACGGGUGAGUAACGCGUGAGUAACCUGCCCUUGACUUUGGGAUAACUUCAGGAAACUGGGGCUAAUACCGGAUAGGAGCUCCUGCUACAUGGUGGGGGUUGGAAAGUUUCGGCGGUUGGGGAUGGACUCGCGGCUUAUCAGCUUGUUGGUGGGGUAGUGGCUUACCAAGGCUUUGACGGGUAGCCGGCCUGAGAGGGUGACCGGCCACAUUGGGACUGAGAUACGGCCCAGACUCCUACGGGAGGCAGCAGUGGGGAAUAUUGCACAAUGGGCGGAAGCCUGAUGCAGCAACGCCGCGUGCGGGAUGACGGCCUUCGGGUUGUAAACCGCUUUCGCCUGUGACGAAGCGUGAGUGACGGUAAUGGGUAAAGAAGCACCGGCUAACUACGUG
rnacentral:rRNA from 1 species